rnacentral:rRNA from 1 species
AUGAAUCACAAAAGCUCCCAACACUUGCAGAGAUCAGAUAAGCAUGUGUCCGCAUCUGCAGCCUGGCUAGAAUGGCUUCUGCAGCAGCGCGGUGAGGUAGACGAGCUCAUCCUUGGCGCCAUUGCCGGUCUUGUCGGCGACGGCCCACUUGAUGGUCUUGUAGCCCAGCCUCCGCAGCAUGGCCGCGUACACGCCGUCGAGGUCGCCCUUCCGGCACCAGAGGUGAUCCACCCAGAGCAGCCCGCCCGGGCGCAGCACCCGGUCCGCGUCGUACCACAGGAACUCCAGCGCCGGCUCCGGGAUCCACCGGUUCACCGCGUGCCCCGCCCGCACCAGGUCCAUCGUCCCGUCCCCCACGGGGAACCGCUGCUGCAGCGGCGCGUGCAGCGGCACCACCCCGCGCGCCGCCGCGGCCUCCGAGUAGGGCGCGCCCAGGUCCAUGGUCGUCGUCAGCACCGUCGCGUUCGCCGCCCGCUUCAGCCGCGCCGCCAGCGUCCCAGUGCCGCCGCCCACGUCCAGCCCCAGCCGGAUGGGCCCCGCGCGGCUCAUCGACGCCAGACGCAGCAGCUGCGGCACCGUCAGGUCCAGAGGCCCCAGCGACCGGAGGAACUUGCCGGCCUCCGUCCGCGCCACGUCGAACCCGAGCGACGCCGGCAGGCAAGAGAAGGACCUGCAUUUCUUCGCGUCCGUCGGCCAGCGCACGGCGGAGUCGGGAAGCGGCGCGAAGGGGUCGGUGGGGAGCUGGAUGGAUCCGGCGUCAGGUGUUGGGGAGAAGCAGCGGCGCCUGGGAAGCGGGUGGCAGCCGCGGAGGAUGAGAGGCUCGGCGAGGGUGUGGACGUCGUCGGGGCAGGCGGCGAAGGGGACGUACGACAUGAAGCGGUGGAGGAGGUCGGGGUGCGCGGAGCAGGCGGAGGCGACGGGGGCGAGGCGCGAGUAGAGGACGAGCUCGGGGGGCGGGGGAGGGCUGGCGGACCGGAGGUGGGAGACGGUGGCGCGGAUGGCGCUGAGCUGCUGGAGGACCUGCUGCUGGUCGAAGUCGGAGCCGGAUUGGAGCGCCGGCGUGGUGGGGGAGGCGCGGAUGGAGAGGUGGUAGAGGGAGAGCAGGUUGGUGGCCACCAUGGAGAGCAGGAACACCACGUUGAGGUUCAGACUGCACGGCCAGCCUGCACCCGUGGAGGCGGAGCCCACCACCGUCUUCCUCAUCGCCGGCCGAUCCGAUCCCCUUUCCCCUCUUUCCCGUGCCUUCACUCCGCGAGAGCGAGCGGCAGAGUGGUGCCGGUGUGUGUGAGUGCGUGA